rnacentral:rRNA from 1 species
GUAACUAUAACGGUCCUAAGGUAGCGAAAUUCCUUGUCGGGUAAGUUCCGACCUGCACGAAUGGCGUAAUGAUGGCCAGGCUGUCUCCACCCGAGACUCAGUGAAAUUGAACUCGCUGUGAAGAUGCAGUGUACCCGCGGCAAGACGGAAAGACCCCGUGAACCUUUACUAUAGCUUGACACUGAACAUUGAGCCUUGAUGUGUAGGAUAGGUGGGAGGCUUUGAAGUGUGGACGCCAGUCUGCAUGGAGCCGACCUUGAAAUACCACCCUUUAAUGUUUGAUGUUCUAACGUUGACCCGUAAUCCGGGUUGCGGACAGUGUCUGGUGGGUAGUUUGACUGGGGCGGUCUCCUCCUAAAGAGUAACGGAGGAGCACGAAGGUUGGCUAAUCCUGGUCGGACAUCAGGAGGUUAGUGCAAUGGCAUAAGCCAGCUUGACUGCGAGCGUGACGGCGCGAGCAGGUGCGAAAGCAGGUCAUAGUGAUCCGGUGGUUCUGAAUGGAAGGGCCAUCGCUCAACGGAUAAAAGGUACUCCGGGGAUAACAGGCUGAUACCGCCCAAGAGUUCAUAUCGACGGCGGUGUUUGGCACCUCGAUGUCGGCUCAUCACAUCCUGGGGCUGAAGUAGGUCCCAAGGGUAUGGCUGUUCGCCAUUUAAAGUGGUACGCGAGCUGGGUUUAGAACGUCGUGAGACAGUUCGGUCCCUAUCUGCCGUGGGCGCUGGAGAACUGAGGGGGGCUGCUCCUAGUACGAGAGGACCGGAGUGGACGCAUCACUGGUGUUCGGGUUGUCAUGCCAAUGGCACUGCCCGGUAGCUAAAUGCGGAAGAGAUAAGUGCUGAAAGCAUCUAAGCACGAAACUUGCCCCGAGAUGAGUUCUCCCUGACUCCUUGAGAGUCCUGAAGGAACGUUGAAGACGACGACGUUGAUAGGCCGGGUGUGUAAGCGCAGCGAUGCGUUGAGCUAACCGGUACUAAUGAACCGUGAGGCUUAACCUU